UGUUGCCUUCUGUGCUGGCUCCUGCAAGUGCACGUCGGUGGCUUUCAUUCCAAUACCCCUGUGAACCUUUGGCCUCUUGCUAGCUUCGGCGGGCAGAGGAUUUUACAUACAAACUCGAAUGUAAUGAAACUCUUGUUGUGCACAAGCACUACUAUACAACUUUCAACAACGGAUCUCUUGGCUCUCGCAUCGAUGAAGAACGCAGCGAAAUGCGAUAAGUAAUGUGAAUUGCAGAAUUCAGUGAAUCAUCGAAUCUUUGAACGCACCUUGCACCCUUUGGUAUUCCGAAGGGUAUGCUCGUUUGAGUGUCAUUGUAUUCUCACACUUCCGAUCUUAGGGUUGGGAGCGGUGGACUUGGGUUUGCUGCUUCACCGUGGCUCACCUCAAAUAUGUUAGUGCAGCUCUUGGUUGGACAUAGUACGGCGUGAUAAGUGUUCUUCGCCGGUGCCUCGCAAAGAGGGUGGCCGAUCGGGAUGUUGUGCUCCAAACCGUCUUCGGACAAUCUCUGACGACUUGACCUCAAAUCGAGUAAGACUACCCGCUGAACUUAAGCAUAUCAAU
rnacentral:rRNA from 1 species